rnacentral:rRNA from 1 species
UACGGAAGGCAGCAGGGGGAAUAUUGCACAAUGGGCGCAAGCCUGAUGCAGCCAUGCCGCGUGUAUGAAGAAGGCCUUCGGGUUGUAAAGUACUUUCAGUCGUGAGGAAGGUGUUAAGGUUAAUAACCUUAGCAAUUGACGUUAGCGACAGAAGAAGCACCGGCUAACUCCGUGCCAGCAGCCGCGGUAAUACGGAGGGUGCGAGCGUUAAUCGGAAUUACUGGGCGUAAAGGGCACGCAGGCGGUUAAUUAAGUUGGAUGUGAAAUCCCCGGGCUUAACCUGGGAAUGGCAUUCAAGACUGGUUAGCUAGAGUCUUGUAGAGGGGGUAGAAUUCCAUGUGUAGCGGUGAAAUGCGUAGAGAUGUGGAGGAAUACCGGUGGCGAAGGCGGCCCCCUGGACAAAGACUGACGCUCAUGUGCGAAAGCGUGGGGAGCAAACAGGGAUUAGAUACC